AGCGAACGCUGGCGGCAGGCUUAACACAUGCAAGUCGAACGGGCGUAGCAAUACGUCAGUGGCAGACGGGUGAGUAACGCGUGGGAACGUACCUUUUGGUUCGGAACAACCCAGGGAAACUUGGGCUAAUACCGGAUAAGCCCUUACGGGGAAAGAUUUAUCGCCGAAAGAUCGGCCCGCGUCUGAUUAGCUAGUUGGUGAGGUAACGGCUCACCAAGGCGACGAUCAGUAGCUGGUCUGAGAGGANGAUCAGCCACAUUGGGACUGAGACACGGCCCAAACUCCUACGGGAGGCAGCAGUGGGGAAUAUUGGACAAUGGGCGCAAGCCUGAUCCAGCCAUGCCGCGUGAGUGAUGAAGGCCCUAGGGUUGUAAAGCUCUUUGUGCGGGAAGAUAAUGACGGUACCGCAAGAAUAAGCCCCGGCUAACUUCGUGCCAGCCGCCGCCGUAAC
rnacentral:rRNA from 1 species